UGCAAUGGGUGGAGUAAAGCUGAGACCUGGAGGAUGAAGUUUUACUGAUAUAUAUUCAUAUUCAUACUACUCUGUAUGUAUAAAAGUAAGGUGGCCACUGGAAACAACUUUUUCUGAAGAGUACCUGUAAGUGUUCAUCUGAUUCUCAAAGCCAAAAUGGUGAAGUAUAAAGUGAUUGUAUCCAAUUCAAACCUCGCUCAGGCAGCCACCACAAACAAUGUCUUCAUUAAGCUGGUGGGCACAGAAGGGGAGAGUAAGCGUACCUGGCUAACAAGCGUUAAAGGAUCUGCCACCUUCUACCUGGGAGCUGAGUCUAAAUUUUCCGUGUGCUGCCCCACCUCUCUUGGAAAGCUGGUGCUGAUUGAACUUGACAAAAAGCCUCUUCUAUUGUUUCCAGAAGACAACUGGUUUCCCAACACGAUCAAAGUUAAAUCCCCAGAAGGUGACAUAUACACCUUUCCCAUCUACCGCUGGAUUGCUGGUUGCGAGGUUCACCUGUUCAGAGAAGGGACAGCUCUACGAAUCAUCGAUGACAAUCAUCAUCUUGGCAAGUACAGCAGGGAGAAGGAGCUGAAGCUGAGAGGAGAACUGUACAGAUGGGAUGUUUAUAAAGAGGGACUUCCUCACUGCAUGAAAGCAGACAACGCUUCCUCUUUGCCUUGUGAGGUUGUCUUCUCUUUCACCAAAACUAAAGAAUUUGCCCUUACUGCAGCCGCUGGGCUUGCAGAGCUGCAACUAAAGGGACUGUCUUCUUGCGAGCAGAAAUGGUCUGAUAUUAACGCUAUUAAAAAAGUCUUCUGCAACAAAAAAACAGACAUAUCAGAAUAUGUCCAGCAACACUGGAAGGAUGAUGCUUUUUUUGGCUACCAGUAUCUCAAUGGUGUCAACCCCAGUUUGAUCCGACGUUGUUCAGCCCUGCCUGAAAACUUCACUGUAACUGAUGAGAUGGUGUUUCUCCGUGGUGGGGGAUGCUUAUCUGGAGAAAUACAGAAAGGAAACAUAUACCUGUGUGACUACAAGCAAUUGGAUGGAGUCAAACCAAACACCAUCAACGGGAAGAAGCAGUACUUGAUGGCUCCCCUCGUUCUGCUCCACAAAACGCCAGAUGACAAGCUGAUGCCAAUCGCUAUUCAGCUGAAGCAGACUCCAGGAGAAGACAAUCCCAUCUUUUUUCCUACUGAUUCCGAGUACGACUGGUUGAUGGCCAAGAUUUUUGUGAGAAGUGCAGAUUUCAAUGAACACCAGCUCAAUGUUCACCUGCUGCGCACUCAUCUUCUGGCUGAAGUGUUUGCUGUGUCUCUGCUGCGCAAUGUGCCCAUGGUGCAUCCACUGUACAAGCUCCUCAUUCCUCACACUCGCUACACCCUGCAGAUCAACUUCAUGGCUCGACUUGCUCUAAUAUCUGAGACUGGAGUUUUCACAAAGUUCGCAGCUUCUGGUGGAGAGGGUAUGAUCACAAUCCUGAAAAGAUCACUGUCUUCAAUGACCUACAGCUCCCUCUGCUUACCAGACGACAUCGCUGAGCGUGGGAUGAUAUCUGUGCCCAACUACCACUACAGAGACGAUGGACUCAAGCUUUGGGAUAUCAUCCACAAGUUUGUGAAGGGAGUGCUUUGCCACUACUACAAAACCGACGCUGAGGUUCACCAGGACUCUGAACUGCAGAAGUGGAUUCAGGACAUUUAUGAACACGGAUUCCUCUCCCAGUCGUGCACAGGAAUCCCUCAAAGUUUUAGCUCAGUGGAUGAAUUGAUCAAGUUUGUUACCAUGGUGAUUUUCACUUGCUCAGGCCAGCACUCAGCUGUCAACUCUGGACAGUAUGACUAUGGUGGCUGGAUGCCCAACACUCCCAUGACCCUGCAACGUGCUCCACCGACCACCAAGGGGACAACAAGCGAGGCCACCAUGCUGCAAACGCUCCCUGACGUCAACGUGACAGUUCAGGGAAUGUCUACAUUGUGGCUACUCAGCAAACAGUCCUCUGACUUUGUCGCUCUCGGACAAUUCGCAGAGGAUCAUUUCUGUGAGGAGAUUCCCUCCAAGCUCAUCAAAGACUUUCAAGGACAACUUGAAAUUCUAAGCACAGUUCUCAAAACCAGAAACAAGAGUCUGGAAGUCCCAUACACAUACAUGGACCCUGCACUGCUGGAAAACAGUGUGGCUAUCUGAACAUGGCAGUGAACAUCCCCUUUUCUGACUUUUUUUAUGGACAUUUUGCUGGUCUUCCAACAUGCCCCUGCAGAUGAUCCAAAAUGCAGCAGCGUGACUGGUCUUACUUACAAAACAGCGCCAAAAGCAGCUCCUCCCUACCUAAAGUCUAUCAUCCAGGUCUACACUCCCUCCCGCCAAAUCCACUCUGCCAAUGAAAGGCAUUGGAUCCAACCUAAGUCUCUAGCUACGCUCUCCUCUGUCGCCCCCCGGUGGUGGAAUGAAUUACUGAACACCAUUAGAUCUGCUGAGUCUCUUUACACCUUUAAAAAAAAGCUAAAGACCCAGCUCAUUCAUGUACACCUACGCACCUAAUUAUAUUGAUGAUGACAAUCAUGAUGAUGGUUUUGUUUAAUGAUGACGAUAUUUUGGAUGGUUUUGAUGCUGGUUAGAACCCUCAAGAACAGCUGUCGAUAAUAUGCAUCGUCUCUGUGCUCUGCCAGUCAGCACCUGUGUGUCCAAUCAGACUUAAAGCUGUUGGGUUUGAACUUUGUGACAUUUCCUACAUUCUUGCUUGUGUUGUACUUACUCUCUGAUGUACGUCGGUUUGGUCAAAAGCGUCUGCUGCUCUACCUUGUCUUAAGGAUUGUUAUGUAUCCGCUCAGUUAAGACCUUUGGUGUGUUAGUGUAACCCAACCUAUGAGGCUAAAUGUAAAGACAUUGAGCUAUCUUUAAUAAAUAUACCUAUUCAGUCAGUGUUGGGCUGUCCUGACAGAUUUAACGAAGUGAUCCAGCUACAAAAUCCCUGUGUAAGCUUCUCUUUGAAAAUAUGGUCAGAAGUAGUUAAGAGAUUUCAGCUUCACUGAUUAUGUGAUUAUUUUUUCUUACUGUAGUGUAAGUGGAAAAACAUAGGUGGUCAUAUAAGAAGAGAUGGUUUGAAUACUCAAGAUUUAAGCUGUUUGUCACUGCUUCCUCUAUGGGUGAUAUUUUGAACCUGGAGGUUUGCCCUUUAUUAUCUUAUUAUGUUUAAGAUUACAUUACAGUUUAUAUAUCUAUAUACAGUAAUUUAUAGUAUUCUAUUCUCUAAGUAAAAGUGAAGACAGUGAGAAGAAAACACACAAGACAUUAAGAGGUCAAUUAUGGAGACACAAAAAUAAUACACAUAGCAGUAGAAUUUGAAUGUAUGUGUGUAACGCCUUUUUUAUUUAUGUUGGGGUUACUUGUAACAACGGGUCUUUGCUGGGGGUCAGACACAGUACCUUUAGUAUAAGUAAUUCACUACAUAUAAUUACAGUUAUUACAGCUAUACUGGCUGGGAAACGACUCUAAAGGAAGGGCAGAGGAGCGUGUGAGAAUGCAGCUCUGCCUCCUGAUCUGAACUCUGUCUGGACCCUGUCUGGGCUGUGGUAGCAGGGAGAACUCCCAUGAUUCCCUGCUGGCCUCGACGUCACCUUUUGUUAUUAUAUUAUUGAAUGAGAGGCCCCUGGCGGAGGAAUCUACAUAUUGUACCUUUAAGGGUAUGUAGGUGUUAUUACACACACGCACACAAGCAUGUGUGUAUAUUUCUGUAGGCCUAUAUUUAUGUAUGUUGUUUCUUGUCUAU